rnacentral:rRNA from 1 species
GAUGAACGCUGGCGGCGUGCCUAAUACAUGCAAGUCGAGCGAACAGAUGAGGAGCUUGCUCCUCUGACGUUAGCGGCGGACGGGUGAGUAACACGUGGAUAACCUACCUAUAGGACUGGGAUAACUUCGGGAAACCGGAGCUAAUACCGGAUAAUAUAUUGAACCGCAUGGUUCAAUAGUGAAAGACGGUUUUGCUGUCACUUAUAGAUGGAUCCGCGCCGCAUUAGCUAGUUGGUAAGGUAACGGCUUACCAAGGCAACGAUGCGUAGCCGACCUGAGAGGGUGAUCGGCCACACUGGAACUGAGACACGGUCCAGACUCCUACGGGAGGCAGCAGUAGGGAAUCUUCCGCAAUGGGCGAAAGCCUGACGGAGCAACGCCGCGUGAGUGAUGAAGGUCCUCGGAUCGUAAAACUCUGUUAUUAGGGAAGAACAAAUGUGUAAGUAACUAUGCACGUCUUGACGGUACCUAAUCAGAAAGCCACGGCUAACUACGUG